UCUCUUGUAAAUUUGGUUAGUUCUGUCUCUUGCUUGUUAGGAAAUAUAAUGUUAGCUUGGUAGGCUUGCACCAUUAAAAGGGAUUCGCACAAUGUCCCAGAUCCCUUCCUAAGUACCUGUAGACAAAUAAUCAUGGUUUAUGAAUGUAAUUUGUUACAUGUUCAUCGAAGGAUAUGAUCAUGAACUUGCCUCAUCUGGUUCCAUAGGGAUUAUAGUGCACAAGGCAAAUAUAAAAGGAUGAACAUAUUUUUGGUACAAAUAAUAUGUUGCAACCGCAUCGGAAACUGAAUAAUUUGCAAGGGUUUCUGGCUCCUCAGAUGCCAAUCUGCACAUUUCUUCAGGAUCUAGUUCCACAGGAUCAUAUCUAAGUUUUGCUUUUGCAACAGCUUUCAAAUUUUGAGAGCCUACAGUAUCCCUAAAAGCGAAUACAUAGAAGAAUGGUUUGAUAUUGAACAGAACACUGUAAGGAAUAGUUAAUAAAAAGAAAGUACCUGUCCAUCAA